rnacentral:lncRNA from 1 species
AUGGCCCGGGCGCUGGAGGCCAAGCGGGAGGAGGCAACGAGGCUGCGGCGGAGGCUGGCGGGGCAGCGGCGGGAGCUGGAGGCGCUGCGGGACCGCCUGGGCCAGGGGGUGCAGGAUGAGGCCGGCGGCCCCCGCACUGACGCCUGCGUCCUGCGGGAGCUGCAGCGGCGGCUGGAGGCGCUGCUGAGGUCCCAGCACGAGGCCCUGCAGCUCGUGGCCGAGAUGGAGGCCGAGGAGGCCGCGGGGAGAGGAGGCCGCCCCGGCGAGGACGGGGACGGCGGAGAGGGGCCGCGGGGCGAGGGGACGGGGGGGCUCAGCACCGCGCCAGGCACCCGGCCGGGGGAAGCGGAGGCUGCUGGGGGGGCGCGGGUGCUGCAGGAGAGGCUGGAGGAGGCCAGGGCUGAGGCCAGGCGCUGGGAGGCCGCCGCCGCCGCUGAGCGCAGGGCCAAGGAGGAGGCGGAGGCCAGGGAGGCCGAGCGGGAGCAGGAGGCGCGGGAGCUGCGGGAGAAGGUGCAGGGGCUGGAGAGGACCCUGGGGAGGCUCAGCGCCAGGGUGGGCGAGCUCAGCGCCGCCCUCCGGGACAGGGAGGCCAAGGUGAGGCCGGGCUGCUGCCCCCUUCCCGUCACCGUCCCUUCCCCAUCGCUGCCCGUCCCCUCCCCGUCCCUGCGCCCAUCGCUGCCGCUGGCCCCUUCCCAUCGCUGGCCCCGUCACUGGCCCCGUCCCACCGCCAGCCCUUUCCCAUCACCGCCCCAAUCCCAUCGCUGGCCCCUUCCCGUCACCGCCCCAUCACCAUCCCGCUCCCAUUGCCAUCCCCAUCACUGUCCCAUCCCCAUCCCAUUGCUGUCUCUGUCCCAAUCCCAUCCCAUUCCCAUCCCCAUCCCAUUCCCAUCCCCAUCCCGUUGCCAUCCCAUCCCGGUUCCCAUCCCAUUGCUGUCCCCAUCACUAUCCCAUUCCCAUCCCAUCCCAUCCUUGUCCCUAUCACUAUCCCAUUCCCACCCCAUCCCCUUCCCAUCCCUGUCCCCAUCACCAUCCCGUUACCUUCCCAUCCCAUUCCCAUCCCAUCCCCAUCCCCGUUCCCGUCCCCAU